UACGAAGGGGGCUAGCGUUGCUCGGAAUCACUGGGCGUAAAGGGUGCGUAGGCGGGUCUUUAAGUCAGGGGUGAAUCCUGGAGCUCAACUCCAGAACUGCCUUUGAUACUGAGGAUCUUGAGUUCGGGAGAGGUGAGUGGAACUGCGAGUGUAGAGGUGAAAUUCGUAGAUAUUCGCAAGAACACCAGUGGCGAAGGCGGCUCACUGGCCCGAUACUGACGCUGAUGGCACGAAAGCGUGGGGAGCAAACAGG
rnacentral:rRNA from 1 species